AGUGAACGCUGGCGGCAGGCCUAAUACAUGCAAGUCGAACGGCAGCACAGUGGAGCUUGCUCCAUGGGUGGCGAGUGGCGGACGGGUGAGGAAUACAUGGGAAUCUGCCCAGUCGUGGGGGAUAACGUAGGGAAACUUACGCUAAUACCGCAUGCGCCCUUCGGGGAAAGCCGGGACCGUAAGGCCUGGCGCGAUUGGAUGAGCCCAUGUCGGAUUAGCUAGUUGGCGGGGUAACGGCCCACCAAGGCGACGAUCGGUAGCUGGUCUGAGAGGACGACCAGCCACACUGGAACUGAGACACGGUCCAGACUCCUACGGGAGGCAGCAGUAGGGAAUAUUGGACAAUGGGGGCAACCCUGAUCCAGCCAUGCCGCGUGAGUGAAGAAGGCCCUCGGGUUGUAAAGCUCUUUUUGUCCGGAAAGAAAAGCAAUCGGUUAAUACCCGGUUGUUCUGACGGUACCGGAAGAAUAAGCACCGGCUAACUUCGUGCCAGCAGCCGCG
rnacentral:rRNA from 1 species